rnacentral:rRNA from 1 species
GCUUGCGGGGGAUUAGUGGCGAACGGGUGAGUAACACGUGAGUAACCUGCCCUUAACUCUGGGAUAAGCCUUGGAAACGGGGUCUAAUACUGGAUAUUGACUUUACCUCGCAUGGGGUUUUGUUGAAAGAUUUAUUGGUUUUGGAUGGACUCGCGGCCUAUCAGCUUGUUGGUGAGGUAAUGGCUCACCAAGGCGACGACGGGUAGCCGGCCUGAGAGGGUGACCGGCCACACUGGGACUGAGACACGGCCCAGACUCCUACGGGAGGCAGCAGUGGGGAAUAUUGCACAAUGGGCGAAAGCCUGAUGCAGCGACGCCGCGUGAGGGAUGACGGCCUUCGGGUUGUAAACCUCUUUCAGUAGGGAACAAGGCCAGCAUUUUUGUUGGUUGAGGGUACUUGCAGAAGAAGCGCCGGCUAACUACGUGCCAGCAGCCGCGGUAAUACGUAGGGCGCAAGCGUUAUCCGGAAUUAUUGGGCGUAAAGAGCUCGUAGGCGGUUUGUCGCGUCUGCCGUGAAAGUCCGGGGCUCAACUCCGGAUCUGCGGUGGGUACGGGCAGACUAGAGUGAUGUAGGGGAGACUGGAAUUCCUGGUGUAGCGGUGAAAUGCGCAGAUAUCAGGAGGAACACCGAUGGCGAAGGCAGGUCUCUGGGCAUUAACUGACGCUGAGGAGCGAAAGCAUGGGGAGCGAACAGGAUUAGAUACCCUGGUAGUCCAUGCCGUAAACGUUG